rnacentral:rRNA from 1 species
UACGUAGGGGGCAAGCGUUGUCCGGAAUCAUUGGGCGUAAAGAGCGUGUAGGCGGCUUGGUAAGUCCGCUGUGAAAGUCCAGGGCUCAACCCUGGAAAGCCGGUGGAAACUGUCAAGCUUGAGUCCGGAAGAGGCGAGUGGAAUUCCUGGUGUAGCGGUGAAAUGCGCAGAUAUCGGGAGGAACACCGGUGGCGAAGGCGGUUCUCUGGGCCUGUACUGACGCUGAGGAGCGAAAGCGUGGGGAGCGAACAGG